CCCGGGCCGCCGGCUGCGGCGAGCGCGGUGCUGAGGGCUCGCCCGCGGAGAGCCGCGCUGGAUUGAGCCUCCCGGAUCCCUCCGGGCUGAGCCCCUCCUCCCUGCCGCUUUCCUUCCUGCCUUCUCAGCUCUCCAGAGAGCUCCCACAGCUCCCUGCUGCAAGCGCGUCACGUUUUUUUAACAAUCACAGAGUGGUCCUUUCGUAUUCCCCCACGGGCUGAGGACCCAUUGAGACUUCAUAUUAUAAAUACUCUGAUAAAAUAAUCGAUUUAAUAAUAUAAAAGAGCUGGUUAUGAUUACAAGUAGAAAAUUGUGAAGUAUAAGGUAUAGGAAUGUCAGGAGUCCAGUGUGUAAAAUAUGCAGUAGAAACCUCGACAAGAAGCUACUGGACGUCUUAUGUUUUGUUCAGGAAACUCUGGAAACCAUCAUGCAGACCAGUUAAACUGCUUGGAAACCCCUACCCUUCCCAUCUUGAUUGGAAUGUCAAGGAUUCCAAUCGGUAGGUCGGAGCUCAGUAGAGAUGCCCUAUUGUCUUAAGGUGUAAAGAUACAAAAUGUAGUAUAAUCUAAAGAUUCCUUCCCGAGUUGGGCGGUAACGAUCUACAGCGACGCUUAUCAGCCCGAAAUAAAGAGCAGGACACAAGCAAUCAAACCAGACAAUGAGAGUAGCCCGGCUGAGAUAUCCAUCUGCUCCGAACCCAACCUGGACACUCCACCCCGGGAGAUGGAAUCAGAAGACACUCAGAGCCAUUCGCAUGUGAAAGGACUCUGCCCAGUUGACUAUAUUCAACCACACAUCUAGACUCUUUGUUGGACUGUGCCCAUCCCGGGUUUUGCCUCAGGAUACGAAAAUCCUUAUAAAAACCCCGGACCUCAAUCUCUCCUUUGUGGAUUUGGGAAAAUCUGUACCUCUGGGUACAGACCCCUGUCCACCCGGCGCUGCGCUGAUUUAUUUAUUGUGGUUUUUUUCUCUCGUUGCUUAUGAUUGGAAUUGUUUUAUAAUAAAUUGCUUUUUAUAUUAACCUUAUUUUGCUAUUGCAUUUAUAACACUAU